rnacentral:rRNA from 1 species
AUGCAGCAGCCCGCGUCCCCGGCCUCGCGCAGCGGCACCCCGCGCCUGCGCAGGCGCGACUCGUCGGCGCCCAACACCCCGCGCGCGGGCCCCUGCGGCCUCGGCGGUGUCGGGAGGCGGACCACGUUCCGGGAGGACGUCGGCCACGCGGCCGCCGAGACCUACCUCGUCACGCGCCUCACCUUCAUCCUCCUCCGCUCCCUCGGGGUAGGCUCUCGGUGGAUAUGUCAGCUUCUUGCGCUCCUCAUAUAUGCAGUUUUACUUAUGCCCGGUUUCAUAAGAGUUGGGUACUAUUAUUUUUUCUCAAGUCAGGUCCUUAGAAGCAUAGUGUAUGGAGACCAACCAAGAAAUAGGUUGGAUAUGUACAUACCCACUGAUCGUAGCAAACCCAAUCCAGUUGUGGUAUUUGUAACUGGUGGAGCUUGGAUCAUUGGUUACAAGGCGUGGGGUGCCCUUCUUGGAAGACGGCUAGCAGAGCGUGGAAUUAUAGUCGCUUGCGUUGAUUAUAGAAAUUUCCCUCAAGGAACAAUAAGUGACAUGGUCAGUGAUGCUUCUGAGGCAAUUUCAUUUAUUUGUGAUACUGUUGCUAGCUAUGGAGGAGAUCCUAAUCAGAUUUACUUGAUGGGUCAAUCAGCAGGAGCACAUAUCGCCGCAUGUGCUCUCUUGGAGCAAGCAAUUAAAGAAUCUCAAGGAGAAGAAAUUUAUUGGAGUGUUACUCAAAUAAAAUCAUAUUUUGGUUUAUCUGGAGGAUACAACAUGCAAAAUUUGGUCGAUCAUUUUCAUAAACGUGGUCUUUAUCGUUCAAUUUUUCUCAGCAUAAUGGAGGGAAGGAGAUCAUUGCCACAGUUCUCUCCGGAAAUUAUCGCUAAAAAAUUAACUCAUGGAGCCAUAGCUCUACUUCCUGAGAUUGUACUUUUUCAUGGAACAGGAGAUUACUCGAUACCAUCGUCUGCUAGUAAAAUUUUUGCGGAUGUCCUCAAAAAAGCUGGUGCAAAAGCUAAAGUACAAUUGUACAGAGGAAAAACCCAUACUGAUGUAUUUGUACAGGAUCCACUUAGGGGUGGCAAAGACCCACUGGUUGAGGAUGUGGUUUCUAUAAUCCACGCCGAUGAUGCAGAUGCACGCCACAAGUAUGAUGAUUCGGCACCUAGCCCCGAGCGCCUGGUUUCCGAGUGGCGGAUAAUGUUGGCCCGGCAAAUCAGCCCAUUUUGA